CCGAGCCCCGGGAAGGCCGCUCAGGGAGGAGGCGUUCUCGCGCCCGCGCCCCCGGCGCUUGGCCGAGUCCCGCGCAGGACGGCGGCGGCGGGGACGGCAGUGCCGGCCUCGGACGCGUCCCUACUUCCGGUCACGUGCCGCACGCGCUGGCAAGUCCUGCUUCAGGGAAGUUAUGGGUGGACGUGCGAGGGCCGCGGACAGAGCGCAGUGGCAGGGGCCUGCUUGAUUUCACUUCUUUCUGGUCUGGCACCCAAGUCUGACCUUCGGAUGUUCCCUCAUCACGUCCUUCUCCUUCUGGUCUCGUGCUGAAUGUGCAAAGGAGAGAAGCAGACACACGCCUCCCCAAGGGUCUGCCUUGGAGGGGUGAGGGAGGCCCGAGUGGCGGUUAUCGGAAUGGGGACUCCCUGAAGUGCACGUUCUCUUUCUAAACACUUUCUCAAAACUUGUACUUGCCACUAUACUUUAUUGCAUAAUGUCAUUCCUAAUUUUGAAGAAAUGAAUGCACCUUUCCUACGUAAUUUUUCUCAUUUUUAACCAAGCUCG
rnacentral:lncRNA from 1 species